ACAGGAGCUGGGAGUCAUCCAGAAUCCCGUCAUACACCGUUGCAGCCUAAAUAAACCCUCCUAUGGCGAGGGAGCCAGUCACAGAAGCUGGGAGUGGAUGCAAGAUUUGUCCACGUCGGCACUACCGCAACAUGGAUCCCUCAGCACUGGAGCCCUCUCUCUACACUGUCAAAGCAAUCAUCAUCCUGGACAAUGAUGGAGAGCGUCUGCAUGCCAAGUAUUAUGAUGAUGCCUAUCCUUCCACAAAGGAACAGAGGAAUUUUGAAAAGAAUAUUUUCAGCAAGACACAUAAAAAUGACAGUGAAAUUGCAUUCCUGGAGGGAUUGACGAUCAUCUAUAAAAGUUCUGUCGAUUUGUACUUCUACAUCGUAGGGAAUUCACAGGAAAAUGAGCUCAUGUUAAUGGCUGUUCUCAAUUGCCUGUUCGAUUCUUUGAGCCAAAUGCUGCGGAAAAAUGUGGAAAAGAAAUCUCUAAUGGAGAAUAUGGAUGGUGUUCUGCUUAUCAUGGAUGAGAUUGUGGAUGGAGGGGUCAUUCUGGAGAGUGAUCCCCAGCAGGUCAUUCAGAAAGUGAAUUUUCGGGCAGACUCUGAAUCAGCCUAUGGCUUUGUUCUCUUUGACUAUCUGACGAACAGUGGGAACAGUGAAGACCAAUGUCAUCGGCCUCUGAAUUAACAGCGGGUAGCUCAGGUUGAUGAUACUCCUUUAACAGAGCAGAGUAUGGCACAGGUCCUUCAGUCAGCAAAGGAUCAGAUCAAAUGGUCGCUGUUAAAAUAAAGCAAGAAUCUUGCCCUU